CCCGGCGGCACUAGCGCGGUGGUCCCACCUGACCCCAUGCCGAACUCAGAAGUGAAACGCCGUAGCGCCGAUGGUGUGGGGUCUCCCCAUGUGAGAGUAGGAACUGCC
rnacentral:rRNA from 1 species